AUGAGAGGGCUCAUCUGGAAUUGCAGAGGGGUGGGCAAGAAAGGGAUGGCCACCUGCCUCUCUGACCUUAUCAGUGACCAUUCCCUAGAUUUCGAGACCAUGAAAGAAAAAUUUUCUCCCAAAUGUUUGAGGAGAAUUGAUCCCUUUAACUUGUUCAAUUGGGACUGGAUCCCUUCUGUUGGCAAAUCUGGAGGUAUCCUAUGUGGAGUUAGACAGGACACCCUGGAAGUGGUUACA
rnacentral:rRNA from 1 species